UACGAAGGGGGCUAGCGUUGCUCGGAAUCACUGGGCGUAAAGCGCACGUAGGCGGUCUUUUAAGUCAGGGGUGAAAUCCUGGAGCUCAACUCCAGAACUGCCCUUGAUACUGAGAGGCUUGAGUUCGGGAGAGGUGAGUGGAACUGCGAGUGUAGAGGUGAAAUGCGUAGAUAUUGGGAGGAACACCAGUGGCGAAGGCGGCUACCUGGACCGGUUCUGACGCUGAUGCGCGAAAGCGUGGGGAGCAAACAGG
rnacentral:rRNA from 1 species